GUACACUCCUGCGGGAGGCAGCAGUGGGGAAUUUUGAACAAUGGGCGAAAGCCUGAUCCAGCCAUGCCGCGUGCAGGAUGAAGGCCUUCGGGUUGUAAACUGCUUUUGUACGGAACGAAACGGCCUUUUCUAAUAAAGAGGGCUAAUGACGGUACCGUAAGAAUAAGCACCGGCUAACUACGUGCCAGCAGCCGCGGUAAUACGUAGGGUGCAAGCGUUAAUCGGAAUUACUGGGCGUAAAGCGUGCGCAGGCGGUUAUGUAAGACAGUUGUGAAAUCCCCGGGCUCAACCUGGGAACUGCAUCUGUGACUGCAUAGCUAGAGUACGGUAGAGGGGGAUGGAAUUCCGCGUGUAGCAGUGAAAUGCGUAGAUAUGCGGAGGAACACCGAUGGCGAAGGCAAUCCCCUGGACCUGUACUGACGCUCAUGCACGAAAGCGUGGGGAGCAAACAGGAUUAGAAACCCGUGUAGUCC
rnacentral:rRNA from 1 species